rnacentral:rRNA from 1 species
CUUUCUCAAGACUAGCCAUGCACGUCUAGUACAAACUAAAUGAUGGUGAAACUGCAAAUGGCUCAUUACAACGGUUAUGAUGUACCCGGGAGUUCCGAUGGAUAUUUCCAGUAACACUAGAACUAAUACAUGUCCCUGCGUUUAUUAGUUUCGCACAGUCCGUCGCUGAGUCAUGGUAAACAGUUGAUCGACUCGACGUCCCGGAACAGUUUCCGCCCCAUCAGCUUCGAUGGUUGGGUAUUGGCCUACCAUUGCAACAACGGGUAACGAGGAAUUAGGGUUUGAUUUCGGAGAGGGAGCCUGAGAAACGGCUACCACAUCUACGGAUGGCAGCAGGCGCGCAAAUUACCCAAUGCAGACACUGUGAGGUAGUGACGAGAAAUAAUAAAGCGGGACUUCUGUUUCGCUAUUAUAAUGAGGAAUAACCAAAGGUCAUUCCGAUUAGCAACUGAUGGGAAAGUCUGGUGCCAGCAGCCGCGGUAAUACCAGCGUCAGUAGCA